CACUGGUCGAGUCGGCCUGCGCGGAAGAUGUAACGGGGCUAAACCAUGCACCGAAGCUGCGGCAGCGACACUAUGUGUUGUUGGGUAGGGGAGCGUUCUGUAAGCCUGUGAAGGUGUGCUGUGAGGCAUGCUGGAGGUAUCAGAAGUGCGAAUGCUGACAUAAGUAACGAUAAAGCGGGUGAAAAGCCCGCUCGCCGGAAGACCAAGGGUUCCUGUCCAACGUUAAUCGGGGCAGGGUGAGUCGACCCCUAAGG
rnacentral:rRNA from 1 species